AGACAGUCAACUGUGAUGUAAUAGUUGUGGUGGUGCAGUUAAUUCUGCAGGUGCAAAUCCACAGUACUGCUCCUACCAGCAGACGUAAUCUUAAUCAGUCAGAGCUCUGACUCAACCACUUCUGAAAAUGCAAAUGUGCAGUUAAAUUUGUACUGGAGUUUGUGCCUCAGAGUCCAGCUUUAGAUUAGCUAGGAUGGCCUGGAAACUAUUUCUCCUAACGGAAGAAACUUGAUACUUCUCUUUGUCCAGAGACUAUGAGAUGAAUCAACAGCCUUCAAAUAAUCCUCAAUAUGGAAGGUCCAAAAUUGAACAUCAAGGCUGACAGCAGGAGGUGCUUUGAUGAGCUUCCAUCUGGAAAGGCAGUGCAUGCAUAUGGAAGAGAGAUCGUAACCUGAAGAUUAACAUGACAAAGCACUGCUGCAAAUUUUCAGCUGGAAAGACAGAAUUGCUUUCAACUCAGACAAUAAAUUAGAUAUGAUUCACA
rnacentral:lncRNA from 1 species